rnacentral:tRNA from 1 species
GGGUGAGUGGCGGAAUUGGUAUACGCGUUGGACUUAAAAUCCAAUGGACUUCGGUCUGUGCGGGUUCGAGUCCCGCCUCACCUAC